rnacentral:lncRNA from 1 species
AUGCAGUUUCUCUUAAGACUCAAAAGGAAGCAGGUACAGAGCACUUCAACUGUGCCAGAAGGGGACGAGCCGAGUGGUGUUGCGGGUCACUGUAUCAAACCCAGGGUCAGGUCACUGUGGAUACCCUGGGUCGGGUCACUGUGGAUACCCUGGGUCGGGUCACUGUGGAUACCCUGGGUCGGGUCACUGUGGAUACCCUGGGUCGGGUCACUGUGGAUACCCUGGGUCGGGUCACUGUGGAUACCCUGGGUCGGGUCACUUGGAUACCUGGGUCGGGUCAUGUGUGAUACCCUGGGUCGGGUCACUGUGGAUACCCUGGUCAGGUCACUGUGGAUACCCUGGGUCAGGUCACUGUGGAUACCCUGGGUCAGUCACUGUG